rnacentral:sRNA from 1 species
UACCAUAGAUUGCAAUCCGAUUCAUG